UCGCUGGAGGACCAGUGGUUAGGCCACGGCACUCUCACAGGCUCGGCCCGGGUUCGGUUCCCGGCCAGGUAA